rnacentral:rRNA from 1 species
AUACGUAGGUGGCAAGCGUUAUCCGGAUUUACUGGGCGUAAAGGGAGCGUAGGCGGAUAUUUAAGUGGGAUGUGAAAUACCCGAGCUUAACUUGGGAGCUGCAUUUCAAACUGGAAGUCUAGAGUGCAGGAGAGGAGAAGGGAAUUCCUAGUGUAGCGGUGAAAUGCGUAGAGAUUAGGAAGAACACCGGUGGCGAAGGCGACUUUCUGGACUGUAACUGACGCUGAGGCUCGAAAGCGUGGGGAGC